rnacentral:rRNA from 1 species
GCCAGACUCCUACGGGAGGCAGCAGUGGGGGAUAUUGCACAAUGGAGGAAACUCUGAUGCAGCGACGCCGCGUGAGGGAAGACGGUCUUCGGAUUGUAAACCUCUUUCUUUGGGGAAGAAAAUGACGGUACCCAAAGAGGAAGCUCCGGCUAACUACGUGCCAGCAGCCGCGGUAAUACGUAGGGAGCGAGCGUUGUCCGGAAUUACUGGGUGUAAAGGGAGCGUAGGCGGGCGAGAAAGUUGAAUGUUAAAUCUGCCGGCUUAACUGGUAGCUGCGUUCAAAACUUCUUGUCUUGAGUGAAGUAGAGGCAGGCGGAAUUCCUAGUGUAGCGGUGAAAUGCGUAGAUAUUAGGAGGAACACCAGUGGCGAAGGCGGCCUGCUGGACCGUGACUGACGUUGAGGCUCGAGAGCGUGGGGAGCAAACAGGAUUAGAUACCCCUGUA